CAGUAGCCGCGGUAAUACGUAGGGUGCAAGCGUUAAUCGGAAUUACUGGGCGUAAAGCGUGCGCAGGCGGUUUGUUAAGACAGAUGUGAAAUCCCCGGGCUUAACCUGGGAACUGCAUUUGUGACUGGCGGGCUAGAGUAUGGCAGAGGGGGGUAGAAUUCCACGUGUAGCAGUGAAAUGCGUAGAGAUGUGGAGGAAUACCGAUGGCGAAGGCAGCCCCCUGGGCCAAUACUGACGCUCAUGCACGAAAGCGUGGGGAGCAAACAGGAUUAGAUACCCCUGUAGUCCCUGUCUCUUAUAC
rnacentral:rRNA from 1 species